rnacentral:rRNA from 1 species
CCUACGGGGGGCAGCAGUGGGGAAUAUUGGACAAUGGGCGCAAGCCUGAUCCAGCAAUGCCGCGUGUGUGAAGAAGGCCUGCGGGUUGUAAAGCACUUUAAGCAGGAAAGAAGGGGUGAAAGUUAAUACCUUUCAUCAUUGACGUUACCUGCAGAAUAAGCACCGGCUAACUCCGUGCCAGCAGCCGCGGUAAUACGGAGGGUGCGGCCGGUAGGCGGAAUUACCGGGCGUACGGCAAGCCCCGGGGGUUAACCUGGGAACUGCGGUGGAUACUGUCGGGCUAGAGUGUGGUAGAGGGGAGUGGAAUUUCCGGUGUAGCAGUGAAAUGCGUAGAGAUCGGAAGGAACACCAGUGGCGAAGGCGGCUCCCUGGACUAACACUGACGCUGAGGUGCGAAAGCGUGGGGAGCAAACAGGAUUAGAUACCCCAGUAGUC